rnacentral:tRNA from 2 species
UGGGCUGUAGCCAAGCGGUAAGGCACGGGACUUUGACUCCCGCAUGCGGUGGUUCGAAUCCACCCAGCCCAG